UGGGCUGUAGCUCAGUGGCAGAGCACUUGCCUUGCAUGCAUGAGGCACUGGGUUCAAUCCUCAGCACCACAU
rnacentral:tRNA from 1 species